rnacentral:rRNA from 1 species
UGGGGAAUAUUGCACAAUGGAGGGAACUCUGAUGCAGCGACGCCGCGUGAACGAAGAAGGCUUUCGAGUCGUAAAGUUCUUUUAUAUGGGAAGAUAAUGACGUUACCAUAAGAAAAAGCCCCGGCUAACUACGUGCCAUCAGCCGCGGUAAUACGUAGGGGGCUAGCGUUGUCCGGAAUCACUGGGCGUAAAGGGUUCGCAGGCGGAAAUGCAAGUCAGGUGUAAAAGGCAGUAGCUUAACUACUGUAAGCAUUUGAAACUGCAUAUCUUGAGAAGAGUAGAGGUAAGUGGAAUUUUUAGUGUAGCGGUGAAAUGCGUAGAUAUUAAAAAGAAUACCGGUGGCGAAGGCUGCUUACUGGGCUCAUUAUGACGCUGAGGAACGAAAGCGUGGGUAGCAAACAGG